GAUUACAAUACAGAGCCCUGUAGCAGUUUGAGUCACGGACGCAUGGGCUGUAAAUAAGCAGUCUCUGCCUCCCCCAUCUGGUCUCUGAAAAUCCCAAAAACACAGCGCAAAACACUGAGAAAGAGAGCAGGGAGUCGCUUCUGCAUGUGGUUUACCAUAACCCAAGUUGACUUCCCUGCUUAUCUUCUUCCAUUGUUCGCUUCACGCACUUUCCAAUAAAAGGAAUCUAAUUGGC
rnacentral:misc_RNA from 1 species